GUCGCCGUUCGGAACCAACCGUCGGAUGUUUGGACUUCUUGACCGGCCGGUUGCAUCGUGUCGAAGUACGUCCUGUGCUCGCCCAGAAGAACUGUAAACAGAAGCAGAGAUAGAAGCCUAUGAAUAGCAUCAAACGCUAACUACAAAAGCAGCUCUCGAAUCUAGUCCAAGCAAACACUCGGCUCAACAUCGAAGUAAAUCUUCUCCGGCACAAGACAUGAGGGUGUUCGAAUCAAUUAGCAUAUUUCAACUCCUCGCCCGCAUAAACCGUAAACACUUCCAGCUACUCGCACGAAGUAUAGAACGACGACGACUUCGCGGUAUAUAUGCAACACGUUCUCUCUUGAAAGAAGACUCGAUGAAACAAAAAGCCGUCGCACAGAAGGGAGAAGAGUACAAGGAGUCGAGAGCGGAAUAAUAGAGCAUAGCGAGAGAGACGUGUAUAACGAGAGCAACGAGUAUUUAUCGGAAGAGAGGUAUAGAUAGGCGCGCGAGUGCGGCGACGUGUAUAUGCAGAUAGCGUGUCGUUGACUUGCAAUCGCGCGCAGCCGCAGUUAAAAUGCUAUCGUUCUCAUUAACGUGGAAAAUGAUUGCGGCGAAAAUAAAGCCGGCGCUGGAUGUUUAUUGCCGCAGCUUCUUCUCUGAUGAAGACGCUGCACGUGAAAGUUAUUAAUAUACAUGUGCACACAGCGUUGUAAAAUCGUUAUAAGACUACAUUUUCAAAUUCAUGCCUUGAUUGCGCGCGCACGCGCGUCCUCGAGAGCGGCACUUUUAAAAUCCAGUCUCGACUUCCGCUUGCGCGCAAGAAGUCGAGAGAGAGAGAAAGUCAGUGAUGUUACUUUAAUUAGUGCUGUCGAUCCUCCGCUCCGAGAGAGAGAGAGAGAGAGAGAGAGAGAGAGAGAGAGAGAGAGAGAGAGAGAGAGAGGGAGAGAGAUAAAGACACUGCGCUCGGCGAACGAAAAAAUGGAAGAAGAACGCGAAACAAGAAAUGAAGACAACCACAAGAUAAGUAUCGAAGCUACAUACACACAGCUCGCUCGCGGUAUAAAUCAAGCGUGUAUGUAUGCGAGAACGCGAUAUUUUUUCGACUGCAGGAUUAAAUAGUUCGCAUAUCGCGCCGCUCGAUUUUAUCGCGAGAUGCAGCGUUUAUUCGCAUAAUUACUCGGUUAAGUAUAGUUUAUACAGUAGAUAAACAAUACCAAUAUUGUCAUUACCUUGAAGCGUCUUGUUGAGUCGACUCCUCAUGGCCGGGCUGUCGACGUGGUUGCACAUGUCCUGUUCGCAGCAGAGCUUUCCCGGUGGACAGGGCCUCUCGGCGAAGCUUCUCUCCAGACAACCGCUGUAGGCAGCGUGUUCUGGUCGAC